rnacentral:snRNA from 1 species
AUCGCUUCUCGGCCUUUUGGCUAAGAUCAAGUGUAGAAGUUGAUUACCAUGCCUUCUUCACCCUCGGUUUUGUGUUUGUUUGUUUGUUUGUUUGUUUUGAUACCAGGGAUCAAACUCAGGCCCUUGCAUUUGUGAGGCAGGUGCCAGAACCACUG